UUAUUGGGCGUAAGGGCUCGUAGGUGGUUGAUCGCGUCGGAAGUGUAAUCUUGGGGCUUAACCCUGGGCGUGCUUUCGAUACGGGUUGACUUGAGGAAGGUAGGGGAGAAUGGAAUUCCUGGUGGAGCGGUGGAAUGCGCAGAUAUCAGGAGGAACACCAGUGGCGAAGGCGGUUCUCUGGGCCUUUCCUGACGCUGAGGAGCGAAAGCGUGGGGAGCGAACAGGCUUAGAUACCCUGGUAGUCCACGCUGUAAACGGUGGGUACUAGGUGUGGGGUCCAUUCCACGGGUUCCGUGCCGUAGCUAACGCUUUAAGUACCCCGCCUGGGGAGUACGGCCGCAAGGCUAAAACUCAAAGGAAUUGACGGGGCCCCGCACAAGCGGCGGAGCAUGCGGAUUAAUUCGAUGCAACGCGUAGAACCUUACCUGGGUUUGACAUGGAUCGGAAGCGCUCAGAGAUGGGUGUGCCUCUUUUGGGGUCGGUUCACAGGUGGUGCAUGGCUGUCGUCAGCUCGUGUCGUGAGAUGUUGGGUUAAGUCCCGCAACGAGCGCAACCCUUG
rnacentral:rRNA from 1 species